rnacentral:rRNA from 1 species
UUAAGCGACUAAGCGUACACGGUGGAUGCCCUGGCAGUCAGAGGCGAUGAAGGACGUGCUAAUCUGCGAUAAGCGUCGGUAAGGUGAUAUGAACCGUUAUAACCGGCGAUUUCCGAAUGGGGAAACCCAGUGUGUUUCGACACACUAUCAUUAACUGAAUCCAUAGGUUAAUGAGGCGAACCGGGGGAACUGAAACAUCUAAGUACCCCGAGGAAAAGAAAUCAACCGAGAUUCCCCCAGUAGCGGCGAGCGAACGGGGAGNAGCCCAGAGCCUGAAUCAGUGUGUGUGUUAGUGGAAGCGUCUGGAAAGGCGCGCGAUACAGGGUGACAGCCCCGUACACAAAAAUGCACAUGCUGUGAGCUCGAUGAGUAGGGCGGGACACGUGGUAUCCUGUCUGAAUAUGGGGGGACCAUCCUCCAAGGCUAAAUACUCCUGACUGACCGAUAGUGAACCAGUACCGUGAGGGAAAGGCGAAAAGAACCCCGGCGAGGGGAGUGAAAAAGAACCUGAAACCGUGUACGUACAAGCAGUGGGAGCACGCUUCGGCGUGUGACUGCGUACCUUUUGUAUAAUGGGUCAGCGACUUAUAUUCUGUAGCAAGGUUAACCGAAUAGGGGAGCCGAAGGGAAACCGAGUCUUAACUGGGCGUUAAGUUGCAGGGUAUAGACCCGAAACCCGGUGAUCUAGCCAUGGGCAGGUUGAAGGUUGGGUAACACUAACUGGAGGACCGAACCGACUAAUGUUGAAAAAUUAGCGGAUGACUUGUGGCUGGGGGUGAAAGGCCAAUCAAACCGGGAGAUAGCUGGUUCUCCCCGAAAGCUAUUUAGGUAGCGCCUCGUGAAUUCAUCUCCGGGGGUAGAGCACUGUUUCGGCAAGGGGGUCAUCCCGACUUACCAACCCGAUGCAAACUGCGAAUACCGGAGAAUGUUAUCACGGGAGACACACGGCGGGUGCUAACGUCCGUCGUGAAGAGGGAAACAACCCAGACCGCCAGCUAAGGUCCCAAAGUCAUGGUUAAGUGGGAAACGAUGUGGGAAGGCCCAGACAGCCAGGAUGUUGGCUUAGAAGCAGCCAUCAUUUAAAGAAAGCGUAAUAGCUCACUGGUCGAGUCGGCCUGCGCGGAAGAUGUAACGGGGCUAAACCAUGCACCGAAGCUGCGGCAGCGACACUGUGUGUUGUUGGGUAGGGGAGCGUUCUGUAAGCCUGUGAAGGUGUACUGUGAGGUAUGCUGGAGGUAUCAGAAGUGCGAAUGCUGACAUAAGUAACGAUAAAGCGGGUGAAAAGCCCGCUCGCCGGAAGACCAAGGGUUCCUGUCCAACGUUAAUCGGGGCAGGGUGAGUCGACCCCUAAGGCGAGGCCGAAAGGCGUAGUCGAUGGGAAACAGGUUAAUAUUCCUGUACUUGGUGUUACUGCGAAGGGGGGACGGAGAAGGCUAUGUUGGCCGGGCGACGGUUGUCCCGGUUUAAGCGUGUAGGCUGGUUUUCCAGGCAAAUCCGGAAAAUCAAGGCUGAGGCGUGAUGACGAGGCACUACGGUGCUGAAGCAACAAAUGCCCUGCUUCCAGGAAAAGCCUCUAAGCAUCAGGUAACAUCAAAUCGUACCCCAAACCGACACAGGUGGUCAGGUAGAGAAUACCAAGGCGCUUGAGAGAACUCGGGUGAAGGAACUAGGCAAAAUGGUGCCGUAACUUCGGGAGAAGGCACGCUGAUAUGUAGGUGAAGCGACUUGCUCGUGGAGCUGAAAUCAGUCGAAGAUACCAGCUGGCUGCAACUGUUUAUUAAAAACACAGCACUGUGCAAACACGAAAGUGGACGUAUACGGUGUGACGCCUGCCCGGUGCCGGAAGGUUAAUUGAUGGGGUUAGCGCAAGCGAAGCUCUUGAUCGAAGCCCCGGUAAACGGCGGCCGUAACUAUAACGGUCCUAAGGUAGCGAAAUUCCUUGUCGGGUAAGUUCCGACCUGCACGAAUGGCGUAAUGAUGGCCAGGCUGUCUCCACCCGAGACUCAGUGAAAUUGAACUCGCUGUGAAGAUGCAGUGUACCCGCGGCAAGACGGAAAGACCCCGUGAACCUUUACUAUAGCUUGACACUGAACAUUGAGCCUUGAUGUGUAGGAUAGGUGGGAGGCUUUGAAGUGUGGACGCCAGUCUGCAUGGAGCCGACCUUGAAAUACCACCCUUUAAUGUUUGAUGUUCUAACGUGGACCCGUGAUCCGGGUUGCGGACAGUGUCUGGUGGGUAGUUUGACUGGGGCGGUCUCCUCCUAAAGAGUAACGGAGGAGCACGAAGGUUGGCUAAUCCUGGUCGGACAUCAGGAGGUUAGUGCAAUGGCAUAAGCCAGCUUGACUGCGAGCGUGACGGCGCGAGCAGGUGCGAAAGCAGGUCAUAGUGAUCCGGUGGUUCUGAAUGGAAGGGCCAUCGCUCAACGGAUAAAAGGUACUCCGGGGAUAACAGGCUGAUACCGCCCAAGAGUUCAUAUCGACGGCGGUGUUUGGCACCUCGAUGUCGGCUCAUCACAUCCUGGGGCUGAAGUAGGUCCCAAGGGUAUGGCUGUUCGCCAUUUAAAGUGGUACGCGAGCUGGGUUUAGAACGUCGUGAGACAGUUCGGUCCCUAUCUGCCGUGGGCGCUGGAGAACUGAGGGGGGCUGCUCCUAGUACGAGAGGACCGGAGUGGACGCAUCACUGGUGUUCGGGUUGUCAUGCCAAUGGCACUGCCCGGUAGCUAAAUGCGGAAGAGAUAAGUGCUGAAAGCAUCUAAGCACGAAACUUGCCCCGAGAUGAGUUCUCCCUGACCCUUUAAGGGUCCUGAAGGAACGUUGAAGACGACGACGUUGAUAGGCCGGGUGUGUAAGCGCAGCGAUGCGUUGAGCUAACCGGUACUAAUGAACCGUGAGGCUUAACCUU